AACGAACGCUGGCGGCAGGCUUAAUACAUGCAAGUCGAACGCACCGCAAGGUGAGUGGCAGACGGGUGAGUAACGCGUGGGAAUCUUCCUUGCAGUACGGAAUAACUCCGGGAAACCGGUGCUAAUACCGUAUACGUCCUCGGAGAAGAUUAUCGCUGCAAGAUGAGCCGCGUCGGAGUUAGCUAGUUGGUGAGGUAAUG
rnacentral:rRNA from 1 species